rnacentral:rRNA from 1 species
ACGAUGAAGAGUUUGAUCCUGGCUCAGGAUGAACGCUAGCGGCAGGCCUAACACAUGCAAGUCGAGGGAGAAGCCUUCGGGCUGAAACCGGCGCACGGGUGCGU